rnacentral:tRNA from 1 species
CGGGGCGUAGCGCAGCUUGGUAGCGCACUUGUCUGGGGGAUAAGGGGUCACAGGUUCAAAUCCUGUCGUCCCGACCA